UCGGAACAGCAGUUUUAACCCUUUCUGACACUAUAAUUGUAAUUUCCUGUCGACCCCACUAACUGGGCCUCCCUGAGCUGCACACUCUCUCCCUUCACUUUUAAGUCAUUCUGAAUGUUCAUGAAUUUUUCAUUCUGUGGGUGAUCUUCGCCCGCGCGCGCGUCUCUGUUUUCAUGAAACGAAAGCUCGCUACUUCUGAGCGCAUUGCAAAUUCCACUUUCCCGGCGACUGUUAGUUAAGUGUAACCUCUGGCCCGCCCGGUGGUUGGUUACGGUUUCCUAAUAUAGUUAGUUCUAAAAGAAGUGUUUUGACUUCCUCUUCUGACAAGUCGCCAAGACAGCAAUUAAGCAGUUCAUAGGUGCCAGCACUGUGCAUACAGUGAACAGCCAAAAGCAAACAGAUAACGUUAGAUUCUUGAGUGCUGUGAAGAAAGCAAAGAUGAGUAACGAGGUGGCGCAGUGGUUAAGAGUCCGCCUGCCAAUGCAGGGAACACGGGUUCGAGCCCUGGUCCGGGAAGAUGCCGCAGAGCAGCUAAGCCCGUGCGCCACAACUACUGAGCCUGUGCUCUAGAGCCCGCAUGACUACUGAAGCCCCCGCGCCACAACUAAUGAAGCCCAGGCACCUAGACCCCAUGCUCCACAGCAAGAGAAGCCACCACAAUGAGAAGCCCGCGCACCGCAACAAAGAGUAGUCCCCGCUUGCCGCAACUAGAGAAAGCCCAUGCGCAGCAACGAAGACCCAACGUGGCCGAAGAUAAUAAAUAAAUAAAUUUUAAAAAAA